UACAGAGGUCUCAAGCGUUGUUCGGAUUCAUUGGGCGUAAAGGGUGCGUAGGCGGCGCGGUAAGUCGGGUGUGAAAUCUCGGGGCUUAACUCCGAAACUGCAUUCGAUACUGCCGUGCUUGAGGACUGGAGAGGAGACUGGAAUUUACGGUGUAGCGGUGAAAUGCGUAGAUAUCGUAAGGAAGACCAGUGGCGAAGGCGGGUCUCUGGACAGUUCCUGACGCUGAGGCACGGAAGGCCCAGGGGAGCAAACGGG
rnacentral:rRNA from 1 species